GCCUCCGUAGCUCAGGGGAUAGAGCGUUGGUUUCCGGUACCAAAGGUCGCAGGUUCGAUUCCUGUCGGGGGCGCCA
rnacentral:tRNA from 1 species